rnacentral:rRNA from 1 species
CUACGGGUUGCUGCAGUGGGGAAUAUUGGACAAUGGGGGAAACCCUGAUCCAGCAAUGCCGCGUGUGCGAUGAAGGCUUGCGGGUUGUAAAGCACUUUCGGUGGGGAAGAAAUGCUCAAAUAUAAUACAUUUGAGAGCUGACGUUACCCACAGAAGAAGCACCGGCGAACUCUGUGCCAGCAGCCGCGGUAAUACAGAGGGUGCAAGCGUUAAUCGGAGUUACUGGGCGUAAAGGGCGCGUAGGCGGACAUUUAAGUCAAUUGUGAAAUCCCUGGGCUCAACCUAGGAAUUGCAGUUGAUACUGGGUGUCUCGAGUAUGGUAGAGGAAAGCGGAAUUCUCGGUGUAGUGGUUAAAUACGUAGAUAUCGAGAAGAACAUCAGUGGCGAAGGCGGCUUUCUGGACCAAUACUGACGCUGAGGCGCGAAAGCGUGGGGAGCAAACAGGAUUAGAUACCCGAGUAGUC